CCUCUGCAUUCCUUCAGCCAAUGAAUCACUUUAAAAGAUGUCAGUGGAAAGCCCCAGGAUACCAUUUUAGGACCCUGGCA
rnacentral:lncRNA from 1 species